rnacentral:rRNA from 1 species
AGUGAACGCUGGCGGUAGGCCUAACACAUGCAAGUCGAACGGCAGCACAGUAAGAGCUUGCUCUUACGGGUGGCGAGUGGCGGACGGGUGAGGAAUACAUCGGAAUCUACUUUUUCGUGGGGGAUAACGUAGGGAAACUUACGCUAAUACCGCAUACGACCUACGGGUGAAAGCAGGGGAUCUUCGGACCUUGCGCGAUUGAAUGAGCCGAUGUCGGAUUAGCUAGUUGGCGAGGUAAAGGCCCACCAAGGCGACGAUCCGUAGCUGGCCUGAGAGGAUGAUCGGCCAAACUGGAACUGAGACACGGUCCAGACUCCUACGGGAGGCAGCAGUAGGGAAUAUUGGACAAUGGGCGAAAGCCUGACGGAGCAAUGCCGCGUGAGUGAAGAAGGCCUUCGGAUAGUAAAACUCUUUUAUUAGGAAAGAAAAGAAGCGUAAGAAAAUCCGACUGUCCUGACGGUACCCAAAGAGAAAGCAACGGCUAACUACGUG